UACGAAGGGGGCUAGCGUUGCUCGGAAUCACUGGGCGUAAAGCGCACGUAGGCGGCUUUCUAAGUCAGGGGUGAAAUCCUGGAGCUCAACCCCAGAACUGCCUUUGAUACUGGAGAGCUUGAGUCCGGGAGAGGUGAGUGGAACUCCGAGUGUAGAGGUGAAAUUCGUAGAUAUUCGCAAGAACACCAGUGGCGAAGGCGGCUCACUGGCCCGAUACUGACGCUCAUGCACGAAAGCGUGGGGAGCAAACAGG
rnacentral:rRNA from 1 species